CCUGGGGCUGUAUAAGGUCCCAAGGGUCCGGCUGUUCGCCGGUUAAAAGGGUACGCGAGCUGGGUUUAGAACGUCGUGAGACAGUUAAAUGACCGUUAGCUGUCUUAAAAUCUGGCUAUUUGCUGGAAAAUCCCGUGCAUCUGAAGAUACUGAACUAAAGUCAAAAGGCAAAAGUUUAGUAAUAAUUCUUCAGUGGGGACAAUCAGCAGGGAAGAUCUAAAAAUCUUUUAGAUUCCCUCAGAGACUGUACGCCGGAAUUCGCCAACAGGCGGAUAUGAUACAGUCCGAACUGCAUAGCGAUAUGCAGAGAUUAGCAGAAAUGUCUAAUCCCUCUAUGAAAGUAGGGAGUAACAGAAUUGUCGGUCUCUAUCUGAUGUGGGCGCGAGGAUACUUGAAGGGGAGCUUUCCUUAGUACGAGAGGACCAGGAAAGACGAACCGCUGGUGUUCCGGUUGUCCUGCCAAGGGCAAAGGCCGGGUAGCUAUGUUCGGAAGGGAUAAGCGCUGAAGGCAUAUAAGUGCCAAGCCCACCUCAAGAAUAUGUAUCCCUUCCUUGGCCGUAAGGCCGAGGAUGUAGGCUGGUCGUAGACUACGACCUCGAUAGGCGCAAAGUGUAAGAUCCGUAAGGAUUUAAGCUAAUGCGUACUAAUCAGCCAAUCGGCUUGGCCUU
rnacentral:ncRNA from 1 species